rnacentral:rRNA from 1 species
UACGUAGGGCGCGAGCGUUGUCUGGAAUUAUUGGGCGUAAAGAGCUCGUAGGCGGCCUGUUGCGUCUGCUGUGAAAUCCCGGGGCUUAACCCCGGGCGUGCAGUGGAUACGGGCAGGCUGGAGGCAGGCAGGGGAGACUGGAAUUCCUGGUGUAGCGGUGAAAUGCGCAGAUAUCAGGAGGAACACCGGUGGCGAAGGCGGGUCUCUGGGCCGAUACUGACGCUGAGGAGCGAAAGCGUGGGGGAGCGAACAGG